GCCAGUCCUAAAAUCAGCAAGGAUUGAUGUCAAUGAUUCCUGAAAGAAGAAUGAAGAGCGGAGCACACUGUCUCCCCGCCAGCAUCUCCACGGGUAUAGAAAUUUGUAAAUUGAACCCAACAUUUUCCAAUAAAGUAUUACAAAACUA